GCUGACAUGUUUGGCCUCAGGUUUGACUGGCUGGGUAGCAGCUCUGCGCGGGACUCCCGUUUAUCCAUGCAUCUAAGAGCCACAAGUUUCAGUUACACGUGUCUGUGAACAUGCGCAGUGCUUGCUGUGCGGAGUUCAGGAAGGGGGUGAGAACAGCCAUUGCAGCCGCGGACCUCAGCCCACCACCUCAAGCAGGUGCAGUGGCCUUCCCCGAGUCCAGAGUCCUGUAGAAGAUGUAUGCCAGGAGGAGAGUGUGAGCCAGGAACAUCGAGUAUGGGAUGAGGAAGGCCAAAGGAGUCAAAGAAACUUCGAGCACUUCCCACGUGGAGGGAUGGAGAAGUGGAAGCCUUCUCCCCUCGCACAAGCCCGGUUGGUGCCGUCACUGGGGAGAGGUGUGUGGACAGUGGCAGGAGGGACGGCCACUGUGAACUUUUCCCAAGAAAGAGGAAAAAAAAGAAUAAGAAGGAAGCACAACACACCUAUUAGGAUGGUUAAAGUGAAGAACCCCAACGGCACCAAGGGCCGGCAGGGAUCUGCAGCAAGCGGAACCUGGGGAGGGCUCAGCAGGGUCCCCCAGAAUUCAAUGGAUACUUACUAGAUGGCCCUGCAGUCCCACUCCUGGGGUCUUACCCUCGAGAAAUAAAACGUCCUUUUCACGCAGAAUCUUGUACAAGCUCUACCCGUAAUCGUCAGAAACUGGACACAACCCAAAUGUCCUCUGGCGCGUGAGAGAAUGGACAGACGGCGGGACCGCUGCAGCACUGGAUUCUGCUCGGCGACGAGGAGAGACGUGGGACUGACACCCUCAGCACAUGGGGUCCAUCUUGGGGCCCUGGCUCAGGGCAUCAAGUGUGGGGUGAUUCCAUUUGCAAGACAUUCUUGGAAAGACAAACCUACAGUGACGGAGUGGCCGGGGGCAGAGUCUUCUUUCCCCCACUGUUAACUCAUUAUGUUUCCCAAGACUUGAUCCAGUUCUUUACUCCUUAAAGUCUGACCUUUUAGCAUUUCUGCAGUGUGACCUGGUUCUUCCUGCGCACCCAGCUGGGAUUCAUCCCAUCUUCAUCGCCAACUGGACACCAGCAGCCAAGCGAUCCCAGACGCCCCAGUGCAGACGGUCUCAUUGGCCAAAUUAAGCUGCUCCAUGCACUUUGAUUGUGAAGUCAGUUAAAACACACGGCAAGGAGCAAAGGAAAAGAAGUAGGGUUCAUUAAUGGGCUCAGGGAAGGGUGCAAGCAGGGCGGUGGGAUUCACUCCCUGAAUCCUGGUGGCACUGUGUUAAUGUCAGGUGUGUGUCUGUCUCUCUCUGCCACACGAAGCGUCCCAGCCCUGUCUCCUCCCAGCAAGGAGACCCCAUCAGAGCAGGGGCCUGCAGCCAGACAUCCCUGUCCCAGGCACUACACGAGCCUGCAAAGUGGCCCAGGGUUCUAUUUGUGUUUCCCAGACUGCCCACACAGAGGACCACAAAGGGUGGUUGAAGGGAAAACCUCAUGAAUAUUUAGAGUCACAAAUUGCAGGUACCCUUUCACCUUUUCGUUCCCUCUCUGCUUAUGAACCUCUCUCUACUGGACGUAUCCAGGGAUGCCGCCAACGGCUUUCAUUCUACAUACUGACACUUACUCAACUUACAUCUUUCCCUUUUCUUGUUUUCUCAUCUUCGACAGCAGCACUGCAUAGUAACAAACGAGACCAAAAAUGCACAUUACGUUAUGCUCCCCCCACCACAACGUGCCGAGAAAAGGGGUAGGGGGUGGGAGAGUCAACAUACAUGUUUGUGUUAUCAAGGGGUCUCCUCUCUUACUCUGAUCACUGUUAGGGCUCUUAGCAAAUGUGGUUUUCCUUCUGCAUCCAAAUGGGCUCGCUAGUACCGAGGCUCCAGAACCAGAGCCUCUUCCUCAGUCACUGACAAAACUGAACAGCCCCUCAAGCUGUUAGAACUGUUGGCCUCCCCAUCUGUGGGGGACCUGGUCCCCUAAAACCCCAGGCAUGGAGGAGCAGAGAAAGCCCAUUUCUCCAGACGGGUACAACCCAAAGAGAGAAAACAAGAAAGGAAGGGGCUAAGCCACAGACCCCCUCUACCCAAAUGACCAAUCAAAAUCUUUUUACUAUAAAGUGAGGAUUCAGGGGUGCCUAGGUGGUUCAGUUCAUCAAGCAUCUGCCUUCGGCUCAGGUCACGAUCUCAGGGUCCUGGGAUCAAGCUCUGCAU